UGGAGGAGGGGCAGUUUCCCAAAGAGAGGACCCAGAGACAGACGGAGUAAGACUAUGUGCCCCUCACUGACUACCGCAUUGCCAUUUCUGCAGGCUUCGAGACUGAAAAAUCUCAGUACCACCUCUGACUCCUAUAGCUCCCCAUUGAUGUGGCCAUCUUGGACAAGAUGCUGUCUUCAAGGCUCGCAAGAGGGGCAGCAACAGUAAAGGAAGCCAGAGUCCCUGAGAACAUGCACCACACCGACUGUAGGCAGCCCGCCCACAU